GUCGAGAAUCUUUCACAAUGGGGGCAACCCUGAUGGAGCGACGCCGCGUGGAGGAUAAGGUCUUCGGAUUGUAAACUCCUGUCAUGCGUGAACAAGGUUGCUUGGUUAAUACCUGGGCAAAUUGAUGGUAACGCAAGAGGAAGAGACGGCUAACUCUGUGCCAGUAGCCGCGGUAAUACAGAGGUCUCAAGCGUUGUUCGGAAUCACUGGGCGUAAAGGGUGCGUAGGUGGCGUGGUAAGUCAGAUGUGAAAGCCCGGGGCUCAACCUCGGAACUGCAUCCGAUACUGCCAUGCUAGAGUACUGGAGAGGUGACUAGAAUUCUCGGUGUAGCAGUGAAAUGCGUAGAUAUCGAGAGGAAUACCAAAGGCGUAGGCAGGUCACUGGACAGUUACUGACACUGAGGCACGAAGGCCAGGGGAGCGAACGGGAUUAGAAACCCCAGUAGUCC
rnacentral:rRNA from 1 species